GCAGGCGGCCAGGCGGCAGUACUCCCAGGAGAGCGUGCUGUCCUUCACCACGUAGCACCAGGGCCUCUCGUCCUUGUCUGGGUUCCUGGACGCAGGGGAGUCGCAGGGCCCCUCAGUGGCGGUGGGGCUCCUGACACCGAGCUGGGUGGGGCU